CCUGACUGCUAUCGGAUUGAUACUAAGCCAUGCUAGUCUUUGUAGUAAUACAAGGCAUACGGCUCAGUAACGCGUAGUCAACCUACCCUAUGGACGGGGAUAAUCUCGGGAAACUGAGCAUAAUACCCGGCAGACCACUUAUCCUGGAAUGGUUAGUGGUUAAAAUGAUUCGUCGCCAUAGGAUGGGACUGCGGCCUAUCAGCUUGUUGGUGAGGUAAUGGCCCACCAAGGCGAUUACAGGUACGGGCUCUGAGAGGAGAGGCCCGGAGAUGGGUACUGAGACAAGGACCCAGGCCCUAUGGGGCGCAGCAGGCGAGAAAACUUUGCAAUGUGCGAAAGCACGACAAGGUUAAUCCGAGUGAUUUCUGCUAAAGGAAUCUUUUGUUAGUUCUAAAAAUACUAGUGAAUAAGGGGUGGGCAAGUUCUGGUGUCAGCCGCCGCGGUAAAACCAGCACCCCAAGUGGUCAGGAGGAUUAUUGGGCCUAAAGCAUCCGUAGCCUGUUCUAUAAGUUUGCGGUUAAAUCUAUACGCUCAACGUAUAGGCUGCCGUAAAUACUGUAGAACUAGGGAGUGGGAGAGGUAGACGGUACUCGAUAGGAAGGGGUAAAAUCCUUUGAUCUAUUGAUGACCACCUGUGGCGAAGGCGGUCUACCAGAACACGUUCGACGGUGAGGGAUGAAAGCUGGGGGAGCAAACCGGAUUAGAUACCCGGGUAGUCCCAGCUGUAAACGAUGCAGACUCGAUGAUGCAAUGGCAUAGAGCUAUUGCAGUAUCGCAGGGAAGCCGUUAAGUCUGCCGCCUGGGAAGUACGUACGCAAGUAUGAAACUUAAAGGAAUUGGCGGGGGAGCACCACAAGGGGUGGAGCCUGC
rnacentral:rRNA from 1 species